CUGCCCAGAAAUUGUCCUGUGUGAGGUGUCAGAGGUAUUCCAGAGAUCGUGUGCCGGGAAGGGACCCUGCUGUUAAAAUGUCAGCAUUCAGGCAACAUCUCGGCACAGUAGCUGGUGCUGAGGGGUCAGGCAGGCAGCCCUGGGAAUAAUCCCUAUUGCUCUGGGCAAACCCAGACCUUUCCCUGGAGCUGGAUGCUCUACCCAUCUGCUCUGUGCUUCCAGCACAGAAGGAUUUGGCCCCAUGGAAGACUCCAGGCCAGCUGCUGCUGUUCCAAUUCCAUAACUGGGAGAAGGAGCCUGGUUGGAUAGCUCGUUCCAUAAAGCCGAGGGCUCUGUUCUCUGCUCUGAUCCCUCAUGCUUCCCAGGGAGCUCCUGUCCCACCCUGGCCAUGAGACGCUUCUCCCAGAAGCUCUUCCAGAGCUUCCAGACCAGGCUGUCUCCCUUGCUCAUGAGCUUCAUCAAGGAAUUGUUGGAAUCAGAGAACUCUCCUGGUGGCCAAAAUUGAACAAGUGGAAAACUCAAUAAAACCACGUGUUUCUCACCAGAUGUGCUGACAAAACACAUGAUGAUAUUGAAUCAAAUCUCCCCCUCGGGACUCUGCCUAACAGAGGGAUCGUUUCUGGGGAGAAACACCAGUUCAAGGACAUCCCAAUGAAGGAAAAUGGAUUCUUGACCAGCUCGCAGCCGAAGUCAGGUGGACGAGUUUGAGUGAGAUUUCUCUGCACAAGAUGAGGUUCAGUUUUCUGAAAAUCUACUCUCAAGAUUCCAGACCAAGGAGAGGAAAGCUCUGGGAUUCAUUUGCCAGAGCUUGCAAAACUCCUGAGGAACUUGAUGUGCAGCAAACCACAUGUCCCCUGCAGAACUCAUGCGUGUGAGCGGUUCCCAAGCCAAAUUAAACUGAGAUGUUCUCCAAAAGCCCAACCAAAGUGAUGGAAAAGGUACUACAAGAUGCAACUCAACAGGGUGUUCAACUUCCAGGCUGUUGUUGCUGCCCAAGCCCAGGGGCUCUUUGCUGAGGGUUCAUAGAUGCUAAUCUGUGAAAAAGUGUAAAGAUUAAUGUCAGGUUUGUGGAUUUAUGGGAGGCUGCGAUAGAAAUGAUUGCUGGGCCUCAAAGACUGAGCAGGAAACAGCCUCCCAGCCUCUGAUGCUAUUUUUGGGAACAAAAAACACAACAGCAAAAA